GGACCCGCACAAGCGGUGGAUGAUGUGGAUUAAUUCGAUGCAACGCGAAAAACCUUACCUACCCUUGACAUGCCAGGAACUUUCCAGAGAUGGAUUGGUGCCCGAAAGGGAGCCUGGACACAGGUGCUGCAUGGCUGUCGUCAGCUCGUGUCGUGAGAUGUUGGGUUAAGUCCCGCAACGAGCGCAACCCUUGUCAUUAAUUGCCAUCAUUCAGUUGGGCACUUUAAUGAGACUGCCGGUGACAAACCGGAGGAAGGUGGGGAUGACGUCAAGUCCUCAUGGCCCUUAUGGGUAGGGCUUCACACGUCAUACAAUGGUCGGUACAGAGGGUUGCCAAGCCGCGAGGUGGAGCCAAUCCCAGAAAGCCGAUCGUAGUCCGGAUCGCAGUCUGCAACUCGACUGCGUGAAGUCGGAAUCGCUAGUAAUCGCGGAUCAGCAUGUCGCGGUGAAUACGUUCCCGGGUCUU
rnacentral:rRNA from 1 species